GUAAAUGGAUUUCCAUGUUUUCAAUUGGUUUCACGUUCCUUCUUUGCUCUAGUUUAAUAAGAAACCAAGGUGCUGAACAACUCGCCUUUCACUUCAAUGUCUUUACCAAAGCUGGCAGUAGCUUUAUUACUCUGAGUGUUGAAUUCAGCCCUUAACACCAUCUAGAGUCGGGACAAUAGGGAGCAACUGCUGAAGUGCACUGAACCUGGACCUCUGGUGCUGUACUGCUGAACUGUGGGACUCUGAAAUAAGCAGACCAGAAUUUUAUGUUCUGAUUUGAGAGGUGAAAGAACGGGAAUUACUGUACUAAGCAAUAUGAGAUAACGUUCACUGACUCGAAUAUAGAAUUGUUUCAAACAGGGGUUCAAGUCCUGCUCCUCCUAAUUUUUUUGUUGUUGUUUUUACAAGACAGGAAAGGGACUGUGCCUAAAGCACCGCACAGAUCUUCCUGUUCUCUCUUCCUCUUAAUAUUACAUUUGAGCUGUCACGAGAAUACAUCAACAGCGUUGUCUAAAAUACAAUUACUCAUGUUUUAAAACUGUAAAAUCUCCUUAUACACGCAGAGAUGACUUUCACAGCACACUCACUGCUCAGACAUGCCAUAAAUGCCUUUACAUGGCCUUUAGGGGAAGUUGGUUUACUGUUUCACUAUUUUAUGUUUUCUUACCAGAGCUUACAGUAAAAAAUAUGGUGUUUUUUUAAACAAACAAGCAAAACUUGUGUGUCUUGGCUUUUUAUUUUUUGAAAGGUACAGAAAAGAAUACCAAACAACCACAUAUAAGCAGCAAUUGAUGGAUUGUAGGACGCAUAUGCAAAAUGUCAUUGCCAACGAGCAGUUUAGUUUGUAUGGCAUGCUGUGCAUGUCUCUGAUCUUGACUUAGCAUGCUUGGCUCUGACAAAAAUAAAACCAAGAUAUCCAGUCUGUCAAUCUGUUCUGGUGGAUCACAUCUUUGUGUUGUUGGAAGUUGCAAGAACUUUUCUGAUAGAUUUCAGCAGAACUAAGAAUUACUUGAUUCUAUUGCUGACUUGAUCUCUGCUUUUUGAAACUUUGGACCAGUCUGCGGGUGCGAUGAGUCUUCUGCUUAUUAACACAAGUAUGAAAAAUAGCUCAUGUUCAAGAUCACAGCAUGCAUAGGAGUCCAAACCAUCUUGAGAUAUUGGACAAAGGAAUUAGAGGUCAGCUGGGCAGAAAAAUGUCAGUGUCUUAUGUCUACGCUGGAUAGAAGAAGAAUUAAGAGACUUAUUGAUUCGAGGAAGAUUUAGACCAGUCACUGAGGAGGAACUAGCAGGAAGAGAUUUUCAAGGCAGGUCCUUGGGCUGUGUGUGGCAAUUGGGCAUGUACCUGUUGGAAAUGCUUCAGGCAGAGAGCAACCUGUCUGUAGAGCCCCGGUACAGCAGGGUGCUGGCCUGAAACCAAUGUUCUGUGGGACUGGAGCCAGAAACAGGAUCAGGGUUGCAGGAAGAACCCUGAAAAGAAAGGCUCUUCUUUCAGAAAGUGGAGCUCCAUGAGCUGUCGGCAUCCCAGGGGCAGAGCAGAGGCAGAUUUUGGCUGUGAAGUUGACCCAGCCAAUGCCACGCAGGACAAGGUGGCAUUGAGAAGGUCCACAGCAGCAGCAUGUGUGCUGGAGGGGAACCACAAGCCGUGAAGGAUAGGGCAAAAGUGCCCGCUUCAUAAAUACACAUAAACAAACAAAACAGCUCACCAGCAGACAAGCUUAGCUGGGGAGCUUUGUGCAAGGCAAUGCAAGAGGAGGCACGCAGCUCGAGCGCUGGGUCAGGAGGAAUGAGCCUAAGUCACCGGUGUCUCACAUCUCCUCUCUUGCUUUACUGAUGGAGAGUAACAUGCAGCUCUUGUCUAUUUGCCCUCAGCAAGCUUGCCUGCCUUGCCCUCUUCUGUGCUCUGAAACCCAGAAAUUCCACACAGAUGGUAUUUUUUAAGAAGGUGUUUCUAAUAGCGAUGAUUUGGAAGGGAAUGCUGAGCCUUCUUGAAAUAUGGAGGAGACAUUGACGAGACCACUGUGUUUUCUGUUUGCGUGUGAAUGACAGAUGCUAUUCACGUCAAACAGAGGAUGCAUAAAGUCAUGGUGAUUGUAAAGACAUGGUGGGCAUAUUUCUGCACUGCAAAACUCAGGAACACGGCCUGCCAGGUAGUUCAUCCCCACGUGCUGGAGGAGCCGUGCCCUUUGGUUGUUCAUCAUCAAUAGGACUGAAAGCCUCUUGGAAAAAAAAGAGAGUCAAUGACCUCUAUAGCAUCACGUCAAACUUCUAGACUGCUGAUCAUCACUGUGUCAGUCCUUCAUUUUAGAGAAGUUUCUCUUUUACAGUACUAGCGCGGGGUUCUGGUGACAGCAUUUGGAGAAGGAAUGGUGAGCUCAAGUGUGAAAAGUGAAUGCAAAAGGCUGUGGAAAGAUGUAUCCACCUGGUUUUACUGAAGAAAACAAUACAGCUCUCCAAGUGCUGGUGAAGCCCUUUCGUUGCUUUCUGCGUGGUUCAGCUCCUGCUUCCCUCUGAUUUUGUUAGUGUUUGGCCGAAUCCCAAUUCCUUUUGAAGAUGAUUAAUUGCAGAACAGCUUAUCCUUAUUAGUGGUACUCAGACCCAACUGAAUUUACCACAGAAGUAAUUACCAGGGUCUUGGUGAUGGGUUUCCUAUUGAAAACGCUUGGGUUGACUGCAGGAGGAGCUGGGAACCAGGGUUUCCCAUGGCUUUGGACAGCUGGGAAACACAUUUCAGCCACAAAAGCACUCAGGGACCUCUAGCCCUCGCAUCCACAUCCAAUGUCCUGUCCCCACCAUCACAGGCCCUGUGCCGAGGAUCACGUGGCACCGUGAUGGGAUCACACGUUUACCAAAGCCACUCUUGUCACCGUAUGGCAACACAAUGUUUCUCCCUGCCUCUAGAAGCUGAGAAUUGGAAGAGGUCAUGAACAUCAACAAAUAUUGUCCAGAUUUUCUUCAGGUCACUUUGUUGCUAAGGGAGUUUGACACUGCCAUGAUGAGCACUGCAGGAAUUCAGAAUGCACCAGCAUGAAUUGUAGAAUCAUAUACUACUUUGGGUUGGAGGGGACCUUUAAGAUCAUCAUCCAAUCCUCCUGCUAUAGGCAGGGACACCUCCCUCUAGACCAAGCUGCUCAAAGCUCCAUCCAGCCUGGCCUUGAAUGCUUCCGGGGAGGGGGCAUCCACAGCCUCUCUGGGCAACCUGUUCCAGUGUCUCACUACCCUCACAAUAAAGAAUUUCUUUCUGAUAUCUAGUCUAGAUCUACCCUCUUCUGCUUUAAAGCCAUUUCCCCUCGUGCUUUUGAAGGAGAAGCAUUUUUAUGGGUAACCACACACUUUACUUUAGGAAGUAUUUACACAGCUGUGACCUUUUUGAACGAUCAGCUCCCCUGGUGUUUGGGAGCAGUGUCAUCUUCAAAUGGCAUGGCUAGACCUAGAGGUUGCCUGCUUGAGGGCCCUGCCCACCCGUGAUCUUCUCCCCCUCUCCCUCUACCUCUUAAGUUCUUUACAAGGAGAGUGGUGAGGUGCUGGAACGGGCUGCCCAGAGAGGCUGUGGAUGCCCCGUCCCUGGAGGUGUUCAAGGCCACAUUGGAUGGGGCCCUGGGCAACCUGGUCUAGUAAAUGGGGAGGUUCGUGGCCCUGCUAGCAGGGGGGUUGGAGAUUCAUGAUCCUUGAGGUCCCUUCCAACCCAGGCCAUUCUGUGAUUCUGUGAUUCUGUGUGAUUCUGUGAUACGUGGAGUAUCCCACCCCCCUAUGCCCCUGUCUCACCCCAGCUCCUCUCCUUGUCCCGGCGACUCCCAGCCCUCACUGCUUACCACCUCCCUUCCUCUUCUACAGAUCCACUGCUGAAAAAGAGACAUAAAUCCAAAAACAUCACUGGUGCCUCAUGUGCAAACACUUUAACAUUAAGCUGACACAGUCCUGUUGUUCAGCAAGAGUAAUUACCUGACUCUGCCUUCUGCAUUGCUAAAUCACAGCAAACUGAUUAAAGCUGCAUGCUAGCGUCUGCUAUGACUCUCAAAUGAGAAGAAAUAGCAGCACGUCCUGGACCUGAUUCAACAGGGACAACAUAUUAUUGUUGAGAAUAGUCCAAGCCCUUUCCAAAAGUCGCAGGGCACGUUUCCCUCAUAUCAGUAAAACUUCCUUGACCAAAAGGGGUGGGACCAUGCUGUGAGCAGCCCUUUCAGAGACCUGAAACCUUCCUGUAAUACUUAUCGGCCUUUCAGUAUUAAAAGGGAAUUUAUAAACAUGAGGGAAAACAACUUUUGACACAGGUAGACAGGGAUGGGUGAAGGGAGAAUGGUUUUAAACUAAAGGAGGAAAGAUUUAGAGUAGACACCAGGGGGAUGUUCUUCACAGAGGGAGUGGUGAGGUGCUGGAACAGGCUGCUCAGAGAGGCUGUGGAUGCCCUGUCCCUGGAGGUGUUUAAGGCCAGGUUGGAUGGGGCCCUGGGCAAUCUUAUCUAGUACUUGGUCUAGCAGCUGGCAGCCCUGCCUGUGACAGGGGUAUUGGAACUUGAUGAUCCUUGAGGCCCUUCCAACCCAAGCCAUUCUAUGGUUCUGUGAGUCUAUGAAACUUUGACUCUGCUGGAAAUAAAUAAAUAAAUAAAUAACUAUCCACAUGAAGAAUUAUCAAGACACUUCAAAAUGACUGCAGACGCCUACGGCUCACUAAAAAUAUGCACCAAUGGCAUUAUGCACUGCACCAGCUAUCGUCUCUGCACUUGAGGUUGUGAACUGACAACUUCCUCA
ensembl:lncRNA